GUUCAUUCGGUCUUCGGCCUCAUCAACUAUCACCUCAUCAGCCCAUAAUUUAGUUGUUAAAUUUUUCGCGGUACUUUGAUCCGGCAUUCUUCUCCAAUUAGCAGAAUAGUCGAAAUAUAUUUUGUAUCCCAGAAAAACGCAAAUGGCCCUAACUCCAGAAAAAUACAAGAACAACCGAUAAGGUAACUAAGAACUUUGGCGCACCUUGUAAUAACCUCAAUGUCUCACGGCACAGUCAACGGAUGGUAAAAAGUCAACCUUGCGUCCAGGAGCGUGUUAAGAUCUCGAACAAACUAAACUAUAAUCAUGGCAGGUCUCAUCUUUGCGAUUAAGUGCAAGGAAGUCCAAAACGUUGCGUAUGGUGGGGAAUUAACUUGAGAUAUGACGUCAUCAGACGUGCUCUAACCAAAGAAGAAUUUAAUCUAUUAAUUAAAUUCAUGGUUGCAAUAUGUGGAAUUUUGAUUGUUAUGGCAUAUUUAAUUUCCUGAAAUCAUCCUCUCAUUCGUGUUUCCUUUCAAGAGAACAUUUAUUGCAAAAACUGUAUUUCAGUCUUUUCUGUUUUCGAAAUUCGUUCUCGUGCAGUUUGAGACACCAUGUCUAAAUAUUUCCUUGAAUGAAUCACCUUCGGAAUAAGUCAAGUAGGGACAUCUUUCUAUUUUUAACAGCCGCAUGACAUUUCGUCUAGUUGUAGCAUUUUCAUUGAAUUUUUAUCACAUUCUGGAAAAUACAGUGCGAAAGUACCGAAUAUAGCGUUAGUUCCAUUUAUAUCCGUAUGUUUUUGCUUAUAAUGGUUUCACGUAUGAAGACAAAUUGUGUUACCUCAGCGAAUAUACCCCAGAUUUGCGCCAGGUGUCUUCAGACGCCGACGAGAUAUGUUUAAAGACUUCAGUUCUUACCUUAAACCGUUGAGGAUCCCGUCUGUUCAAAAACUGUUUAAAAGUUUGACUUGCAAUGUUUCAAAAGUAACGUCCUUUUUCUAUGUACAUGUAUGUUUCAAACGACAAGAGCCGGUUUGGGCAGGAAGUUUCAUUGUACAACCCAGGGGUUUUGUCCACGUUAAGGGUGGAAACUUAGCAAAAGCGACGUUUACACAACUCGCAUCAUAAUUUGCAUCUUCCUUCUGCUCUAACAUGCCCACAGAGUCGAUGAAUGCAUGAUAGCCUUCCAAGAAUGAGUACCUAAAUUUAACUUUGAGACAAUGUUUGUCAAUAAGGUAGACAUAAGUGUCUGCCAAUGAAUUAACCAUUCCGACUUGCAUAAGUGUUUGCUCCUCAGUUUUUUUUUUGUUUUGUUUUGUUUUUGUUUCUGCAGGUGGUCUUCAAAAGAAAUCUCUUCAGCGAGCGUCGAAAUUCUGCAUCGGAGGCACAUUCGCGCUUCGCAAGCGAGGUUCAAUGUGUUCGAAACGAGGGAAACGACUGUAACUAUUAAUAUCUUCAAAAAAGCCACCAAGCUCGCGCUCCUAAUAAAAUAUACAUAACACUCUCCACACGUUCCUUGUCUUGCAUUUUCCCCUGCUUGUCAUUCGGUAUUCUUGCUGUUGAUUUUGUUUGUUUUCCUCUUAUUAAGGGAAGAGAGAAGAAGCUUAUGUAGGACCACGUAAGCUUAUCGUGAGCAAAACAGUUCAACAUGUUUUUAUAUGGUAUUUUUUCAAUUUACUGUGAUAUUCUGGUAAUCCCUUAUGAACAGAAAAGUUAAAUAUAACUUUGUCCAUUUGCUCGAGGUUUUGUUGGAGAUGUCAGUUGUCAUUCUUUGUUUCUUUAAUGAAGCUUUUUGUUUGAUAUUCAUUUUUGCUUUUCGUGACAGUAUUGGAUUUGGUGUGAAGGAAGUUUUCCAGAUAUAUCGAGCCGAGUUGCGAAACGACCUGAUUUUCAAAAUUGAUCCAGUCUGAGAUGUUAUAUUAUUUAUGAGCCCUGAAGCUACCAUCAAGAAAAACGUUAUCAAUUUUAAAGUUUAAAUAUCAAUAUUUUUCAUAGUAAUUGCCCUAUUUGCUUUCAUCCAGUAGUAGACCAAAAAUAUCCCCAGUUGACGGCUUUUUGAUAUCCUCAUAUCCUGUACCCUAGCUCUCAGCCUUGUCAAAUCCAUCGUAUAAUAACGCACGUCUUCUCAAAGUUCUGUUCUUCCUGCUAAGAAUUCAUUUUGCUGUUCUCCAAGGCCAGUACAAUGGAAGUGAAAAAGUAAUUAGUGAUAUGUGAUAAUACCUGUAAAGAUUAGAAGAAAACUAAAUGGUUUCAAAACAUAGUCCACCAUGCAGGAAACUGUGUAAUAAUUUCAGACAAGUCAUGCAAUUUCAAAAGCUACCAGUACACACUCUAGCUGUGAAUGCGUCUCUUGUUAGUUUAAUUUCCUGCUAAAAACAGCGUAGAGGACGAGAGAGUAUCGUACAAUGAAGUCAUGUCAUCGGUCACUUCUCUAACAGUCAUAUCAGUGUUUGAGUGAGCUGGAGGGAAACCUGGGGGAGGGGUUUCUGCGUGUGUUCUGAUUGGCCAUUAAGAACUGGAAUAUCUCGUCCCAAUGUUUCUCUCAAUUCAAAUUACAAAGUGUUUUGAUGAUGUAAAGACCGUGGCAGUUGACUCAAAAUUUGCGCCCAACAUAAAUAAUAAAUAAACUAAAUAAAUUAUAUUUAGAGAGGAAGCUACAUCAGCUUUAGCUAGCCUGCGUAGCAGGCGUAUAAAGGGGAGGGGAGUGGGGGAGAAGGAAGAGAAUUCGGGGAAAAAAAAAUAAAGGGUGGGGUCCUCGAAAUCUCUUCUCCUCCUCCACCCCAUCCCCUUUAUACGCCUACUACGCAGGCCACUUUAGCUGCCAAAAAAUACAUUAAAAAAGCCCUCCCUACUCCUCACACAAUAUCCAGUCUGUUUCUCUUGCGUGAACCCCACGAUUCGAACGCGCAGGACUCUCUCUUCUAAAUUGCCUGAUCCAUCUUAAUUUGAUUUCAUAUAACAUUGGUCUUUUUGUGCUGCCAUCAUCUCACUAAAAUCGUUUCUGGUCGUUAUCGCUACCAACCAAAUUUCUUCUGGUGCGAAAUCACUCUCGGUCAAUAAUUUCCAUUGCAAAUAUUCAAAAUGCACGUGCUGAUGCUGAUAAUUAUUCAUCUCAUGUUCAGUUAUCCGCCAUCGUCUUCGAUGGUUCCUGUUCCAUCCACGUUUCUACAAAAAGAGUGAAACGUUUGCUAACCUAACCUUGUAAAACCGACAGUUAUGAUGUUAGUGGAAAGAGACAGACAUGUUACGUGGCCGGGUAACGAUUAUUCGACCGAAACAACGAUAUAUUUGACAUGAUGACAAGGUACACGUGCCGAGGUUUAGUCGAGCUUGUACGGUUUCAGUGCGGCUGGUGCGUCUUCGUUUGAAGUUUGCCAGGCCGUUUACUUUGUGUGAGCAAACAAAAGGACUGAGGACUGCAAAUCAUAACUCGUUUGCCCGUGCCACCCGCACUGGUUCCAAAUCAGAGGAUAACCAAUGACGAGAGAACAUCGCACAAGUUUCACAAGCAACUUUACUACGUCAUGAAGUAUUAUACGAGCUGUUACAUGGCAUUUAACGGAGUGAAGGAAGUCUAACACGCCAUUAAACUGCAUUUUAGACCGAUUCUGUAUAAUAAAGCUGCUGCAAGUUCUCAUCGUGAAGUUGAUAGUUCCGUCAGCAAAAGCCUUUUACCUAAAAAAAUUUUCAAAAAUAAACUAAGUCUUUUGGCGGGAAAAUAGAGCGCGCUUUUAAACGGUGCCUGGAAAUUUUUCCAAAAAAAAAACUAAGUCUUUUGGCGGGAAAAAGUCUGCGCUUUAAAAUGGAGUCUAGAAAUUUGUCAAAAAUAAACUAAGUCUUUUGGCGGGAAAAAUCUCUGCAGUUUGCAGUCAGAUUUGGCCCAUCAAAAGUCAGCCUUUAUUUUGACUUGUUACUAGACCCUGAUUAAAAGUGCAGAACGUUUUUCCGCGUCGGCAACCCUACAUAGUCAAAAAAUAAUAAAAGAGAUAGCCUACAUUUCGACUAGUUUCCAGGUCCCAUUAAAAGCGCGCAUUUUUUUUAUUAAGUGACACAAGACUCAUUUGUUGAUUACAAUAUUGUUUCUUUAUUUCAGUUCAAUAAAGUUUUAACUGAUUUACAAGUUGUGAUCUUUAUUGAGAAGAUAUUUACAAGUAUGAAAACUGUUUAACUAACUACUAAGGUCGAUAGAUACAGAGUAAUUUUACGAGUCGUAAAAUUUCACUGUAUCUAUAUACCAAAGUAAUAAUUUAAAACAGUUGACAAUUAUUACUAAGUCUGAAAAAUAUCUAAGUAGUAAUUACAACAAUCAAAGAAAAGAAAAUAAGUUUCUCAAAAUAAAAAGUGAAAUUACAUAUUUUGUCUCGUUCUUAGCAAAAAUGUUUACUACGGAGGUAAAACAAAUAUUGCCGGAAAUUUUCUGUUCACUAAAUAUUACAACAAGUCAGGUCAAAUUUAGAGAUAAUUUCUCUUUCAACUACAGCGAUUUCAAGUCUUUAAAGCGAAUGAAUACAAAAUAAACGCCGACCCAUGCAAAGAAACCACAGGGAAACGUAAUUAGAGUAGUUUGAAUAACAAGAAAAUUUUGGUCAGCAAUUCAGUAUUGUUUAAAGAAUAAUUCUGUUCGUUUGCUAUUUGCGCAAUGGUAAUAUUUCAUGAUUUGAGUUGCUUGCUUCCGAAAUUUCGUGAAUUCUCUCUCUGCGUAAUUUGCAGUAAAAUCUAGCAGUUCAAAAAAUACGGCGAGAAAU